AUUGAACGCUGGCGGCAGGCUUAACACAUGCAAAUCGAGCGGGUGAGGUUGCUUCGGUAACUGAGCUAGCGGCGGACGGGUGAGUAAAGCUUAGGAAUCUGCCUAUUAGUGGGGGACAACAUUCCGAAAGGGAUGCUAAUACCGCGUACGUCCUACGGGAGAAAGCAGGGGCUCUUUAUGACCUUGCGCUAAUAGAUGAGCCUAAGUCGGAUUAGCUAGUUGGUGGGGUAAAGGCCUACCAAGGCGACGAUCUGUAGCGGGUCUGAGAGGAUGAUCCGCCACACUGGGACUGAGACACGGCCCAGACUCCUACGGGAGGCAGCAGUGGGGAAUAUUGGACAAUGGGGGGAACCCUGAUCCAGCCAUGCCGCGUGUGUGAAGAAGGCCUUUUGGUUGUAAAGCACUUUAAGUGGGGAGGAGGCUUACCUGGUUAAUACCUGGGCUAAGUGGACGUUACCCACAGAAUAAGCACCGGCUAACUCUGUGCCAGCAGCCGCAGUAAGAC
rnacentral:rRNA from 1 species